CUAAGAGUCGGGGGAAACCCGUCU
rnacentral:snRNA from 1 species